rnacentral:tRNA from 1 species
AGCUUUUAGGAGGUAGAGCAAAGGACUGAAAAUCCUUGUGUCGUUGGUUCGAUUCCAAUCAUCACCA